rnacentral:scRNA from 1 species
CGGCAGGCUGAGCAGUUGGGCAUACCUGAGAG